CACAAGGAGGCCGGUGUGGCCCUUGGCCGGGUCAUAGGGGCACUUUCCCUUGCCAUCCUCAAACUCGCUCCGCUCCAGGGUGAAGCUCCAGAGCCUCCACGCUGAAGGCAAACAGGGCCUCCCGGGCCCCGACAUACAGGAGCCCCGUCUGCUCGGUCAGGGUCAGGGUCAGGAAGUCCUGGAUGCCUGUCUGGGAGAAGCGCCGCACCACCGUGGCUAGCUCUGCAGGGACAAGGCCGGAGUGACCAGGGCUGGGGGAGGUAAAUCUGGGCUGGAGAGGAGGAAGGAAGGAUAUCUCAGCCACAGCUUCCGGCCAGAGGAAACCAUCAGACUGAUGGCUCUCACUCUCAGGGUCAGUCGCCACCUCCCCAUCCCGCCGCCCCACCUCCCGCCACCCCCGCUUCCUCCGCUGCGGCUUCCUUCUCUGCUCUGUUGCACACUGCCCCCACCAGGGUCCAGCCUUGCCCUGGCCCCUGAUCCAGCCAGGCAGGAUGGACGGAAGUUGCGAGCGUUCCUUGUCUGAGAGAACCCUUCCCUCCAGUGGGUCCCAAAUGCAGGCUGCGAGGGGUACAAGCAGAGCCGGCCAUGGGAUGUGGAGACGGAAUCAGGCUGGGAGACCAGGGCAGGGAGGGCGGGGGAGAGCAGAGGCUGGGGGCCAGAGAUGGUGCCACAGCCUUGGGGCUGGGGAGACCUGUUGCCGUCCGUCGAGCAGGGGGCCACGACAUUCAUGCAGCCACAGGAUUCCUGUCAACCCCCAAAUAGCUGCUGGACUGUCCCCAGGGUCCCCCUAAACCAUCCUUAGUGUUUGGAGCCAACGAUGGGCCCAGACACAGACCAGCAAGGGAGGGCUUCGUUAGCACUGAGAGGAGCCUGUGGGAGGUGAGCUCAUCCCGGGUCCCCAGAGCGCACGACGCAAACACCUGACAUCACCUCUGCAUACAGGAGUGUGUGCACAGAGGGCUGUCAGGCCCACUGUGCCCUCCCACAGGAGCGUGUGCACACACACCCCGUCCGGGGCGUCGGAGGAUCAGGUCAGCAGGAGGGGGAGUCUAUCAUAUCCGGGUUGCUAAGGGGGCUCCUGGGGGCACAGAGCUUGAAGACCUGGGAGUGGGUAGUAGCACCUUUUGCUUCGUGUUUAUCUUGGCUCAGGUUUCCCUCUUUAGGCUCUCAGUGCUAGGGAUAAUUCCAGAAGUGAGAUGUAGGGAGACAGGUGCAGAAUGGUCACUCUUGGAUAACAAGGCAGCCAGGUCCUAAGCGUAAGGAGGGCCACCCCAGAUCCUGGCCUGGACGACCAGUUCUGGGUUCCUAGAGUCACUCACUCACAUUUCUUAGAAAGCUGUGUCACAUACAUCAGGGCCUUGCGCCCAACUGCAGAAUAAAGCCAGACGUUCCAGAAGGCAAUUCCUUAGCACCCCUCUUCCCCCAGCAGUCCCUCCUGGCCGCCUGCUCCCCAGCCUUCAGA